rnacentral:rRNA from 1 species
UACGAGGGGGGCAAGCGUUGUUCGGAAUUAUUGGGCGUAAAGGGCGCGUAGGCGGUGCGGUAAGUCACCUGUGAAACCUCUAGGCUCAACCCCGGAACUGCCCUUGAAACUGGAGAGCUAGAAUCUUGGAGAGGCGAGUGGAAUUCCGAGUGUAGAGGUGAAAUUCGUAGAUAUUCGGAAGAACACCAGUGGCGAAGGCGACUCGCUGGACAAGUAUUGACGCUGAGGUGCGAAAGCGUGGGGAGCAAACAGG